rnacentral:rRNA from 1 species
GAUGAACGCUGGCGGCGUGCCUAAUACAUGCAAGUCGAGCGAACGGACGAGAAGAUUGCUUCUCUGAUGUUAGCGGCGGACGGGUGAGUAACACGUGGAUAACCUACCUAUAAGACUGGGAUAACUUCGGGAAACCGGAGCUAAUACCGGAUGAUAUUUUGAACCGCAUGGUUCAAAAGCGAAAGACGGUCUUGCUGUCACUUAUAGAUGGAUCCGCGCUGCAUUAGCUAGUUGGUAAGGUAACGGCUUACCAAGGCAACGAUGCAUAGCCGACCUGAGAGGGUGAUCGGCCACACUGGAACUGAGACACGGUCCAGACUCCUACGGGAGGCAGCAGUAGGGAAUCUUCCGCAAUGGGCGAAAGCCUGACGGAGCAACGCCGCGUGAGUGAUGAAGGUCUUCGGAUCGUAAAACUCUGUUAUUAGGGAAGAACAUAUGUGUAAGUAACUGUGCACAUCUUGACGGUACCUAAUCAGAAAGCCACGGCUAACUACGUG